UACGAAGGUGGCAAGCGUUACUCGGAAUCACUAGGCGUAAAGCGCAGGUAGGCGGUUGGAUAAGUUUCUUGUGAAAGCUCCCGGCUUAACUGGGAGAGGUCAAGGAAUACUGUCUGACUAGAGUGUGGUAGGGGUAACUGGAAUUCCCGGUGUAGCGGUGAAAUGCGUAGAUAUCGGGAGGAAUACCUAUGGCGAAGGCAGGUUACUGGGCCAUCACUGACGCUGAGCUGCGAAAGCAUGGGGAGCGAACAGG
rnacentral:rRNA from 1 species